GAGUUUGAUCAUGGCUCAGAACGUACGCUGGCGGCACGCCUAACACAUGCAAGUCGAACGAAGUAGCAAUACUUAGUGGCAGACGGGUGAGUAACAUGUAGGUAUCUGCCCUUUGGCCUGGAAUAACACGAGGAAACUUGUGCUAAUACCGGAUAAGUCUUUACGGAGAAAGCUUUAUGCACCAUUGGAUGAGCCUGCACUUGAUUAGUUUGUUGGUGGGGUAAUGGCCUACCAAGACUUUGAUCAAUAGCUGAUUUGAGAGGAUGAUCAGCCACAUUGGGACUGAGACACGGCCCAAACUCCUACGGGAGGCAGCAGUGGGGAAUCUUGCACAAUGGAGGAAACUCUGAUGCAGCGAUGCCGCGUGAGUGAAGAAGGCCUUUGGGUUGUAAAGCUCUUUCGUCGGGGAAGAAAAUGACUGUACCCGAAUAAGAAGGUCCGGCUAACUUCGUGCCAGCAGCCGCGGUAAUACGAAGGGACCUAGCGUAGUUCGGAAUUACUGGGCUUAAAGAGUUCGUAGGUGGUUGAAAAAGUUGGAGGUGAAAUCCCAGAGCUUAACUCUGGAACUGCCAUCAAAACUUUUCAGCUAGAGUAUGAUAGAGGAAAGCAGAAUUUCUAGUGUAGAGGUGAAAUUCGUAGAUAUUAGAAAGAAUACCAAUUGCGAAGGCAGCUUUCUGGAUCAUUACUGACACUGAGGAACGAAAGCAUGGGUAGCGAAGAGGAUUAGAUACCCUCGUAGUCCAUGCCGUAAACGAUGUGUGUUAGACGUUGGAAAUUUAUUUUCAGUGUCGCAGCGAAAGCGAUAAACACACCGCCUGGGGAGUACGACCGCAAGGUUAAAACUCAAAUGAAUUGACGGGGACCCGCACAAGUAGUGGAGCAUGUGGUUUAAUUCGAAGAUACGCGCAGAACCUUACCAACACUUGACAUGUUCGUCGCGACUUUAAGAGAUUAAAGUUUUCGGUUCGGCCGGACGAAACACAGGUGCUGCAUGGCUGUCGUCAGCUCGUGUCGUGAGAUGUUGGGUUAAGUCCCGCAACGAGCGCAACCCUCACUUUUAGUUGCCAUCAUUAAGUUGGGCACUCUGAAAGAACUGCCAGUGAUGAGCUGGAGGAAGGUGGGGAUGACGUCAAGUCCUCAUGGCCCUUACGUGUUGGGCUACACACGUGCUACAAUGGUAUCUACAACAGGAAGCAAGACAGCGAUGUUAAGCAAAUCCCUAAAAGAUACCUCAGUUCGGAUUGCACUCUGCAACUCGAGUGCAUGAAGCUGGAAUUACUAGUAAUCGUGGAUCAGCGUGCCACGGUGAAUGCGUUCCCGGGUCUUGUACACACCGCCCGUCACACCAUGGGAGUUGGUUCUACCUUAAGGCAAGGUUUUAAACCCUUGACCACGGUAUAGUCAGCGACUGGGGUGAAGUCGUAACAAGGUAACC
rnacentral:rRNA from 1 species